AUGGCGAGGUUCCGGUUCCACUGGCUGGAGGCCAUGCUGCCGCUGGGCAUCAUCGGCGGCUUCCUCUGCAUCAUGGGCAACGGCCAGUACUACAUCCACAGGGCCGCGCACGGCAGGCCGAAGCACAUCGGGAACGACAUGUGGGACGUCGCCAUGGAGCGCCGUGACAAGAAGCUCGUCGACAAGCCCGCCGCCAACUAG
rnacentral:rRNA from 1 species